CCAGACGGCUGGAUGGUCGCCUUCGGCUUCGCGCCGGGGGAGGAAAGUCCGGGCUCCACGGAAACACGGUGCCGGUUAACGGCCGGCGGGGGCGACCCCAGGGAAAGUGCCACAGAAAGCAAACCGCCCACGGCAACCCUGAUACGUCAGGGGGGCCUGGGUAAGGGUGAAAGGGUGCGGUAAGAGCGCACCGCGCCCCCGGCGACGGGGGUGGCAGGGUAAACCCCACCGGGAGCAAGACCGAAUAGGGACGGCCGGGCCCGUUCUCCCCUUGGGAGAUCGUGGGCCAAGCGUGUUUCCGCGCUGCCGUCCGGGUUGGUCGCGCGAGGCGUCCGGCAACGGGCGUCCCAGAUGAAUGACCAUCCACCGGGGUCCAUCCCCGGGGACAAAACCCGGCUUACAGGCCGUCUGGCAUU
rnacentral:RNase_P_RNA from 1 species